rnacentral:misc_RNA from 1 species
AAGUCGUAACAAGGUUCCCGUAGGUGAACCUGCGGAAGGAUCAUUAACGCAUUGUUUUGCUUAAUUGCAUCUAACCUUUCUAUCAACCCCUUUAGCGAACUGUAAAAAAGAAGGAGUAGCUUCACGGCUCUUUUUCUUUUUUCUACCCUUUUUCUUUUAUUUUUUUUUAUAACCCCUUUUUUAAUGCUAUAGACUGAUCUAAAAAAAAGAGAUUUAAAUAUCUAACGCUGAAACAACUCUUAGCAACGGAUAUCUAGGCUCUC